rnacentral:tRNA from 1 species
GCCUGGGUGGCUCAGUCGGUUGGGCAUCUGACUUCAGCUCAGGUCAUGAUGUCGGUGUUCCCAGGUUCAAGCCCUGUGUCAGGCU